GUAGGGUGCAAGCGUUGUCCGGAAUUAUUGGGCGUAAAGAGCUCGUAGGCGGUUUGUCGCGUCUGAUGUGAAAUCCCGAGGCUCAACCUCGGGCCUGCAGUGGGUACGGGCAGACUGGAGUGCGGUAGGGGAGAAUGGAAUUCCUGGUGUAGCGGUGGAAUGCGCAGAUAUCAGGAGGAACACCGAUGGCGAAGGCAGUUCUCUGGGCCGUAACUGACGCUGAGGAGCGAAAGCGUGGGGAGCGAACGGG
rnacentral:rRNA from 1 species